rnacentral:rRNA from 1 species
GGGUCAGGAGGUUGGUCGUGCCACCGGUACGUACUGGUCUCACUGAUUCCUCCUCCCUGAAGAACCGUAAUGCCAUUAAUUUGGUGUUGCGGGGAAACAGGACUGUUACUUUGAAAAAAUUAGAGUGUUUAAAGCAAGCUAACGCUUGAAUACAUUAGCAUGGAAUAAUGAAAUAGGACGAUCGAUCCUAUUUUGUUGGUUUCUAGGAUUGACGUA